rnacentral:rRNA from 1 species
UACGUAGGGUGCGAGCGUUAAUCGGAAUUACUGGGCGUAAAGCGUGCGCAGGCGGUUCGUUGUGUCGGCGGUGAAAGCCCCGGGCUUAACCUGGGAAUGGCCGUUGAAACUGGCGGACUGGAGUGUGGCAGAGGGGGGUGGAAUUCCGCGUGUAGCAGUGAAAUGCGUAGAGAUGCGGAGGAACACCGAUGGCGAAGGCAGCCACCAGGGCUAACACUGACGCUCAGGCACGAAAGCGUGGGGAGCAAACAGG